rnacentral:rRNA from 1 species
UACGUAGGCAGCAAGCGUUGUUCGGAGUUACUGGGCGUAAAGGGUGCGUAGGCGGCUUCUUAAGUCUGGUGUGAAAUCUCCCGGCUCAACUGGGAGGGUGCGCCGGAUACUGAGGGGCUAGAGUGUGGGAGAGGAAAGCGGAAUUCCUGGUGUAGCGGUGAAAUGCGUAGAUAUCAGGAGGAACACCUGCGGUGUAGACGGCUUUCUGGACCAUUGCUGACGCUGAGACACGAAAGCGUGGGUAGCAAACAGG